rnacentral:sRNA from 2 species
UUGCUAUCUGCGAUAUGGAAGAUUCGAACCUGCCGCAGGUUCGGGUCGAACGUAGUGAGACAACGGAGCCGUUUACGGCGACGGCCCGAAGGGCGAGCGAAGCGAGUCAUCCUGCACGACCCACCA